ACGUUCCUACGGGGGGCAGCAGUGAGGAAUAUUGGUCAAUGGGCGGGAGCCUGAACCAGCCAAGCCGCGUGAGGGAAGAAGGUACAGCGUAUCGUAAACCUCUUUUGUCAGGGAACAAAGGCGGGGACUAGUCCCCGGAUGAGGGUACCUGAAGAAAAAGCAUCGGCUAACUCCGUGCCAGCAGCCGCGGUAAUACGGAGGAUGCGAGCGUUAUCCGGAUUUACUGGGUGUAAAGGGAGCGUAGACGGCGGAACAAGUCAGAAGUGAAAACCCGGGGCUCAACCCUGGGACUGCUUUUGAAACUG
rnacentral:rRNA from 1 species